rnacentral:rRNA from 1 species
GACGAACGCUGGCGGCGUGCUUAACACAUGCAAGUCGAACGGUGACCUCGAGAGCUUGCUCUUGGGUGAUCAGUGGCGAACGGGUGAGUAACACGUGAGUAACCUGCCCCUGACUCUAGAAUAACCCCGGGAAACCGGGGCUAAUACCGGAUAUGAAACAGAUCCGCAUGGGUACUGUUUGGAAAGUUUUUCGGUUUGGGAUGGACUCGCGGCCUAUCAGCUUGUUGGUGAGGUAAUGGCUCACCAAGGCGACGACGGGUAGCCGGCCUGAGAGGGCGACCGGCCACACUGGGACUGAGACACGGCCCAGACUCCUACGGGAGGCAGCAGUGGGGAAUAUUGCGCAACGGGCGAAAGCCUGACGGAGCGACGCCGCGUGUGGGAUGAAGUCUCUCGGGAUGUAAACCACUGUCGGAGGGGAAGAGAAAGGACGGUACCCUCCAAGAAAGCCCCGGCUAACUACGUGCCAGCAGCCGCGGUAACAC